rnacentral:snRNA from 2 species
GUGCUUACUUCAGCAACACACACAUUAAAAAUUGGAAUAAUACAGAGAAGAUUAGCAUGACCCCUGCAUAAAAAUGACACACAAAUUCAUGAAGCAUUUUAUAUUUUU